AACGUAGGGGGCCAGCGUUGCUCGGAAUUACUGGGCGUAAAGGGUCUGUAGGCGGUGCGGCAAGUCGGAAGUGAAAUCGCAGGGCUUAACUCUGCGGCUGCUUCCGAAACUGCCGUGCUCGAGUGUGAGAUAGGCGAGUGGAAUUGCAGGUGUAGCGGUGAAAUGCGUAGAUAUCUGCAGGAACAUCGGUGGUGUAGACGGCUCUCUGGACCGUAACUGACGCUGAGGCACGAAAGCGUGGGUAGCAAACAGG
rnacentral:rRNA from 1 species